rnacentral:lncRNA from 1 species
ACAAAUUCAAGUGAAAUUUGAAUAGAAAUUUAUAUUUCCCUCCAAUUUUUUGUGACACUUAGGCUAUAAAUAAAAGUCAUGUGUGUGUAUUUUUUCAACUUUGAUCAUUUGAGAAUUAUACUUCAAAGUUCAGACCUCAUUUGAGGCACUAAAUUUCGUGCUCCUUCUCUCCCUCUCCCUCCACUCAUCUUCUACUUCCUUCAAGCUCUUAUCAAUGGUUUCCUAUGGUGGUGAGCUUCUUCUUGACGCAUCUUCUCCUUAAAGUGGGUCUCCAAUCAUCUUCUUUCUCCGUUCCGCUGCCAUUCAUCUUCAAGAAGUAAAGGACUCCAUUGAUGAAGAAGAUUCAAGGCCUACAAGCUCCACAUGGAGCUACAUCACUCUCUUUGCCCAAUUACGUGCCACAUCAUCUUUAGUGGGGUGAGUGUGACCC